rnacentral:rRNA from 1 species
UACGUAGGGUGCAAGCGUUGUCCGGAAUUAUUGGGCGUAAAGAGCUCGUAGGCGGUUUGUUGCGUCGGCUGUGAAAUCCCGAGGCUCAACCUCGGGUCUGCAGUCGAUACGGGCGGACUUGAGUGUUGCAGGGGAGACUGGAAUUCUCGGUGUAGCGGUGAAAUGCGUAGAUAUCGAGAGGAACACCUGCGGCGAAGGCGGGUAGCUGGGCCGACACUGACGCUGAGGCGCGAAAGCCAGGGGAGCGAACGGG